rnacentral:rRNA from 1 species
GACGAACGCUGGCGGCGUGCUUAACACAUGCAAGUCGAACGGAAAGGCCCUGCUUUUGUGGGGUGCUCGAGUGGCGAACGGGUGAGUAACACGUGAGUAACCUGCCCUUGACUUUGGGAUAACUUCAGGAAACUGGGGCUAAUACCGGAUAGGAGCUCCUGCUGCAUGGUGGGGGUUGGAAAGUUUCGGCGGUUGGGGAUGGACUCGCGGCUUAUCAGCUUGUUGGUGGGGUAGUGGCUUACCAAGGCUUUGACGGGUAGCCGGCCUGAGAGGGUGACCGGCCACAUUGGGCGUGGGAUACGGCCCAGACCCCUACGGGGGGCAGCGGGGGGGAAUUUUGCAAAAGGGGCGGAAGCCUGAUGCAGCAACGCCGGGGGCGGGAUGACGGCCUUGGGGUGGUAAACCGCUUUCGCCUGGGACGAAGCGGGAGUGACGGUAAUGGGGAAAGAAGCACCGGCUAACUACGU